rnacentral:rRNA from 1 species
GUAAGUUCCGACCUGCACGAAUGGUGUAACCAUGGCCACGCUGUCUCCACCCGAGACUCAGUGAAAUUGAAAUCGCGGUGAAGAUGCCGUGUACCCGCGGCUAGACGGAAAGACCCCGUGAACCUUUACUAUAGCUUCACAGUGAACUUUGAGCAUGUUUGUGUAGGAUAGCUGGGAGGCUUUGAAGUGGGAACGCCAGUUCUCAUGGAGCCAACCUUGAAAUACCAGCCUGACAUGUUUGAGGUUCUAACUUGGUCCCCUUAUCGGGGAUGAGGACACUGUGUGGUGGGUAGUUUGACUGGGGCGGUCUCCUCCCAAAGCGUAACGGAGGAGCACAAAGGUGGGCUAAGCAUGGUCGGACAUCAUGCGGUUAGUGUAAUGGCACAAGCCCGCUUAACUGCGAGACAGACACGUCGAGCAGGUACGAAAGUAGGUCAUAGUGAUCCGGUGGUUCUGUAUGGAAGGGCCAUCGCUCAACGGAUAAAAGGUACUCCGGGGAUAACAGGCUGAUACCGCCCAAGAGUUCACAUCGACGGCGGUGUUUGGCACCUCGAUGUCGGCUCAUCACAUCCUGGGGCUGAAGCCGGUCCCAAGGGUAUGGCUGUUCGCCAUUUAAAGUGGUACGCGAGCUGGGUUUAGAACGUCGUGAGACAGUUCGGUCCCUAUCUGCCGUGGACGUUGGAGAUUUGAGGAAAGCUGCUCCUAGUACGAGAGGACCGGAGUGGACGAACCUCUGGUGUUCGGGUUGUGACGCCAGUCGCAUUGCCCGGUAGCUAUGUUCGGACAGGAUAACCGCUGAAAGCAUCUAAGUGGGAAGCCAACUUCAAGAUGAGUACUCUCUCUAUAAGACCACAGCAAGACUAGCUGUUUGAUAGGUAUCAAGUGUAAGCCGUGUAAACGGUGUAGCUAAGAUAUACUAAUAGGUCGAACGAGU